UCAGAACUACGCAAUAAUAUUCGCAGGCUGCAGUGAUUGCCCAGGGGCCAUUCGUCCUGCCAUGCCACUACGUACAAAUUCAGUAGAAAAGGCAGUAUCUAUUAAUUGUUCAUAUCAUUAUUGCCUCACAGCAAAAAGUAAAGAAAAUAUAAAGAAAGUAGGUAAAAAGGCUGGAUAAAAAACAUUCUGAUCAUAAAAGAGAUGUCAAAAUAUGAAGGAAAUAUUUAGAGACAUAGAAGGUAGCCUACAUGGAUCACAGCGAACCGGGAAAACAAAAAUUUCACAGUGAAACAACCAAAACAUAAGGAAAGGAGAAAAAUAUAAAAUAGUUAGAGCCCAAGAAGACCGCAUGCGGUGAAGUCAAUUCAAAAAACUGAAUUCCCUACGGUUGUCGCUCUGCACCUCUUUGUUUCUGAGACGGAUUGUAUGCACCAAUCUACGACGAUUCUGGCAAUUUAAUGCCGCCGCAAAACCCAACUCCC
rnacentral:lncRNA from 1 species